AUUGAACGCUGGCGGCAGGCCUAACACAUGCAAGUCGAACGAGUGGCGGACGGGUGAGUAAUGUCUGGGAAACUGCCUGAUGGAGGGGGAUAACUACUGGAAACGGUAGCUAAUACCGCAUACCAUCGGAUGUGCCCAGAUGGGAUUAGCUAGUAGGUGGGGGAAAGGCUCACCAAGGCGACGAUCCCUAGCUGGUCUGAGAGGAUGACCAGCCACACUGGAACUGAGACACGGUCCAGACUCCUACGGGAGGCAGCAGUGGGGAAUAUUGGGCAAUGGGCGAAAGCCUGAUCGAGCAAUGCCGCGUGAAUGAAGAAGGCCUUCGGGUUGUAAAGUACUGUCAGCGGGGAGGCGUUACCCAAAGAGGAAGCAACGGCUAACUCCGUGCCAGCAGCCGCGGUAAUAC
rnacentral:rRNA from 1 species